rnacentral:lncRNA from 1 species
UGUCAAUUGGGAGUUCCUCUAGGGAUGCAAACUGGAGGCACCUGACUUCUUCACAUGGCUUUGGGCAUCCCACAACAUGGAAGCUGGGCUCUAAAAGGAUUCAUCCUGUUGUAGUAGGUGAGCAUUCCAAAAGAAAGUUGCCCAGCCCUCUAAUAAUCAGGUUUCAUCCUCAUGUACCUCUUCCCCUGCAUGCUGUUGACUACCCCAUAGGUAGAGAGUAGAGGAACACUUUCUAUCUCUUGAUGAGACUAUCAGCAUGAACAUUUAGAGGGGGAAAAAUGCAGGCCAUGUUUGAAUUCACAUUCCCAUGAAUGGUUCCACCUUUGGUAGGUAGAGAAGCUAUAGAUAAUGACCAUUUACAAAUGCUCUUAACAUCUUACUGCUAGGGAACACAUGGUCAUGUAGUCGAGGUCAAAUGUUCCCUGGUGAUACAAAGCCAAAACAUAUCAGAAGCAGGUGAAAGAUACAGAGGGCUUUUUGGAGGAAGGGAGUUUUUAAGCCUAAUCUGACAGAGAAGGCAUAUACCCAGAGUAUAUACUCAGAGGUAAUAAUGCCCUGCUUCUGAGUACACAAUACAUACAACCCAGACAAUAGUCCAUGGAGUGAUGCUUUUCCACGUUGAUGUCUUGAGCAUAGAAAAAGCAGCAAGCAUAUCUUUGUGUCUCAGUGUUCCUGUAGUGAAUAAUAACAAAUGCUCUUUUCAGCUUUUGUUCCAGGGUCUAUUUUAUAAAUUCCUAUGCAUGAAUCUUGCUCAAAGCCUCAAUGGUAACCCACUCAUGGAUUUGUGACAGAGGGGGGAGGAGAUAACUGAGUGUUCAUUACAUGGGAUCCUUGCUGAAUAACGUUUGAAUACAGAGCUUGUCUAAUGACUGAAACUAAGUCAGGGUAUUAUAAAAUACAGUGUAGUCAUAGCAAACGAAAACAAAAAAAGCUCUGUAGAUGCUAAGAGUGUGGGUGCCAGAAAACAGGGCCAUAGGCUUCAAACUUGAAAGCACAGAGCUAAGAGUAUGAAAGAGAAUAGAAUAUAGAGAUCAUGGAAAAACCAUGAUCUCCCCUUGGAAUGCCAAGGAGGUUAAGCUAGGAAAGAAGUUCAGAUAGUGAAGAGUUAUGGGCCCUGUGAAGGGACACUCAGGCCUGCUGUAAAUGUUAAGGCUUUGCUGAGAUCAGAUCGGACGAUGGUUAGAGCAAACUGUUCAUCAUACACCCCUCAUAAGAUACACUCCGGUGUUGGUUUAGCAAGCUGUAUCCAUACUGUACUCUGGUGUUUUUACCCCCCCUCCACACACACUUUGAUGAACAUCCUUUGUUCACAAUCCUAAUAAAAGAUAGACCCUGCGUUUCCUUGGGGCUCUUGCUGGCUACAGCAUUAGUCAUUUCUUUGUCGUCUUCAAGUUGAUCUUGUCACAUAUGAUCACAAGAGUUUCUUUUAUGGGGAAAGUUUUGGACAGUGCACUGUUGCGUAUAUUCUCAUAGAAAUUCCAUAGCAUUAUUUAAAAUUCAUGGCCUGAGGUUGCAGUGAGUACAGAUUUAGCAUUCACAGGAGAUAGGACAGAGCUGGAAUAUGGAGCGGAUGUUAUAUAAGCAACCAUGAUCUUGGAAACAGCCAGCUAGGGCAAAGAAUAGAAGGGGAGGAAAAACGAGGAAGUGAGUAAAGUUACCCAUGGUGGCUGCUUUCAUGCAGAUUCAAUCCCCAUUUUGAUUUAAGAACCAGAUGAUCUACCCACAGAAAGGGUAAGAAGUUUCUAAUGCUUUAUUACAUACAGGAAGUUAGCUUUUUCAGAACAGCUGUGGGAGUUCCCAUUGUGUCUCUGUGGUAACAAACCUGAGUGUAGUAUCCAUGAGGACAUGGAGUCCAUCCCUGGUCCCAUUCAGUGGGUUAAGGAUCUGGCUUUACCAGAAGCUGCAGUGCAUGUUGCCUGUGUGGCUCAGAUCCUGCGUUGCUCUUGUGUAGGAAACAGCUACAGGUCCAAUGCAAGCCCUAGACUGGGAGUUUGGAUAUGCUGUGGUUGUGGCCCGAAAAAGACAAAAAAAACAAAACCACACAACUACAUGACCAGUGCUAAGGGCCUUUGAGGUCUAACUGAAAGAGGAUUCCACUGAAACACGUUACUCCUAAGGAAAGAUACUGGACCGAAAUACUCAUUUCCUCGUUUGCAAAAUGGAAAUAAUAAUGGUUGCUGGCUCAAGAGAUUUGUGUGAGCCUCUGAGGAGGUAAUAUAUUUGCAGUGUGCCUGACACAGGAGGAGUACCUAGGCAUGGUCAGCUAUUUUUAUGUCAUCCUCACCAAUAAAAAAAUAAUGUAACACCUUUAAAAAACUAAAGAUAAUAUUCGGAGUAGUAACCCAAGAAUCUUCAAGAUGUUAUUUGCUAUGUAAUUUGAAUUAAGGGGGAAAAAUACCCCAAAAUGCCCCUUUUGUGAUUGGCAAGCUUCUGGAACAUUGGUUGGAAAUCGUUCAGCCCUGAAAAUCCAAAUGGCCACCACUGUAGUCUCAUUAGUCAUUCCCUCUUUUAUAACAUGAUACUCAUUGGCGUUCCAUGGUUAGAAUUACCCAUCAUUUACUGAUGUUAUGGAGCAAUAAUAAUGCUUUCUUUGAUUUCCUUUGUGACAUUUCAUUCAUUGAAAUACACGGGGAAGACAAAGGCUAAUGAUUGGACACACUCUUCCAAGUCUUUUAGUGCAAUUACAAAGGACAAAGUACCCAGUGACAAAGAGAUUUUUUAUUUUUUCUUUUGUAAAAUGUUCACGCAUUGGUGAGGGGAAUACGCAGCAUAUGUUACACACCUGAGAUGAAGAUAUCUACCCUAUUUGACAAUUUUUCUGAGUAUGCCUCUCCUUAUUUCCCUUUUGAUAUCUUUGUUCCAAAGGCUAUGUAGACCAAAAGGUUUAACAGGGGACUCACAAAGAUAUAGAAAACUGCUAGCAUUUUGCCUUGUUCUACAGAUGCUUCAGAAGGAGGCCCCCGAUAUAUGCAGAAGAGCAUCCAUAAAAAAGAGUGACAGCCUGCAGAUGGGACCCAGAGCUGGAAAAAGCCUCGGGCCUCCCUUCAACAGAGCUGUUAACGCAGAAUGGCUGUGAAAAUAAAAACGUCAGAGGUGAGGACGAUGGUGUGAGAGAACAGCAGAGGUUGAAACCAGCUACCGCAAACAUGGCAGUCAUGUUAACAUACAUAUCUGAGCAGGGCAGGAUGAAGAGAGGUGGAUCAGCACAAUACAAGCAGUUGAUUUCAUUGGGUCCCAGGAAGGAGAGACAGGGUAUCAGGAUGGUCUGGGCUCGACCAGUUACAAAGCCAUGACUAUAAUGGUAGCCGUGAGGGAGAGGCAGAAACUUUGGGACAUGUUGCUCUCAUAGAGCAAGGGUUGGCAAACAGCCAUGGUCAGAAGCCAUGACUGUGAUCACGUCAUCUGUGGUUUGUAGGAGCCAUCAUGUGUGAUCACCAGGACGAUCAAUGAAAAAGUGGAACUGGAUAGAGCAACCAAGAAAGGAAAUUUGUUUUCCCUUCCCUUGGAUAAGAAAUGCACCAGCAUCUGAGGAGUGACCUUGGUGGCAUGACACAGACCUACAAAGCAGAGGUAGGUGGCUGAGGAAGAAGCACACUGGAGUGUGAAGCGUUGAGUCACUGUGCAUUAGCAGACUGGUAGGGACAUUGCCAAUUACUAAGGUAAGGUAGAUGACAAGGCAUACCACCAGCAGGACAGGCUGCACCUCAGCUACAUCUGUCAGUCCCGGAAGCCUCCGCUUGGUCAUCACCUCUGAGUAGUUGUCCUUUUCACAUUGUUUGCGUCCCUUGCAGUGAGGCCUGAAGUAAAGGAAAUAUGCCUGCAUUUGUCUUUAGUCUUUUUGCUGCUACUCCCAUCAUGGCAUUUGCUACUUAGCAUGUGAUAGAUGUUUUCAAUAUCUAACGUAAUGUAGAGAUCCUUUAUAUAAAAGCAGUCAUUUUUGAAUGCUUUUCUGCAAGACUUUUCACAUUGGAAAAACCUUUGUCUUUUCUGCAGAUAUCAUUAUAAAUUGUUGACUUAGUGUCCCUUUAAACAUUGCUCUUCUUUGGAUAUAUGAUCCUAUGUGUUUUAACAUGCCUUUUGAUGUGGUAUCUAAAGUGUCCGUCCUUGAGGUUCAGGGGCUUUCACAGCUGAGUGACGGUAAAGGAAGUGGAACUGAGAUAUGCACAGAUUCUAUUAGAAGCAGAGUGUGUCUAUGUGCCCCUCUAAACUCAAGGUCAUUUUCAAGGGGGCCUCUCCCCCUGUGGUGCCUAAACAGGUUCCCCACACUUGGCUAUCUCAAGUGGCCCUCAUAUACCAAGCCUUGCUUUAAGUCGUUAGAUUCUGCUCCUGAUAAGCUUAGUCUUGAGGAACACAGAAUUAUUGGGGGCAAUACUUGGUAGGACACACAAA